rnacentral:rRNA from 1 species
GACGAACGCUGGCGGCGUGCUUAACACAUGCAAGUCGAACGGAAAGGCCCUGCUUUUGUGGGGUGCUCGAGUGGCGAACGGGUGAGUAACACGUGGGUAACCUGCCCUUGACUUUGGGAUAACUUCAGGAAACUGGGGCUAAUACCGGAUAGGAGCUCCUGCUGCAUGGUGGGGGUUGGAAGGUUUCGGCGGUUGGGGAUGGACUCGCGGCUUAUCAGCUUGUUGGUGGGGUAGUGGCUUACCAAGGCUUUGACGGGUAGCCGGCCUGAGAGGGUGACCGGCCACAUUGGGACUGAGAUACGGCCCAGACUCCUACGGGAGGCAGCAGUGGGGAAUAUUGCACAAUGGGCGGAAGCCUGAUGCAGCAACGCCGCGUGCGGGAUGACGGCCUUCGGGUUGUAAACCGCUUUCGCCUGUGACGAAGCGUGAGUGACGGUAAUGGGUAAAGAAGCACCGGCUAACUACGUG